rnacentral:rRNA from 1 species
UACAGAGGGGGCAAGCGUUGUUCGGAAUUACUGGGCGUAAAGGGCGCGUAGGCGGCCUUCUAAGUCGAACGUGAAAUCCCCGGGCUCAACCCGGGAACUGCGUCCGAUACUGGAAGGCUUGAAUCCGGGAGGGGGAUGCGGAAUUCCAGGUGUAGCGGUGAAAUGCGUAGAUAUCUGGAGGAACACCGGUGGCGAAGGCGGCAUCCUGGACCGGCAUUGACGCUGAGGCGCGAAAGCCAGGGGAGCAAACGGG